AGAAGAGGGUGGUAGAGUUCUUGAGAUGUGAGGCCACGGUGAAUCGAUCUGCUGGUAACCUGGGCCAUCACGUGAUGUGUCUCUUUAGAGAGGGGCCCCUGACAAGCUUGUGAGACUGGACUUCGAGGGUUUGACAAGGACACGUGGACUGCUAAGAUAGGGCGGUGACAACAACAAUUUUUUAUUGUUUUUAAUUUCCAUUCUUGGGUUGGUUUGAUAUUUUUCUUUAUUUUAUUAAAUUUUAAUGAAGAAAAUGACUGAUUUGCUGAUAAUAAUAUUUUUUGGUCGGGCCGAAGAUGGCAGGUGUUUGGGAGUGGGAGUGGGAGUGGGAG
rnacentral:misc_RNA from 1 species